GCCCGGGUGGCUCAGUUGGUUGAGCGUCUGAUUUCCGCUCAGGUCACGAUCCCACGGUUCGUGAGUUCGAGCCCCGCUUCGGGCU
rnacentral:tRNA from 1 species